rnacentral:rRNA from 1 species
AUUGAACGCUGGCGGCAGGCCUAACACAUGCAAGUCGAACGGAGCUGCGGACGGGUGAGUACUGCCUGGUAAUCUUCCUGGUAGUGGGGGAUAACUUCCUGAAGCGGGCGAUAAUACCGCAUACUCUCAGAUCAGCCUCGGUCGGAUUAGCUAGUUGGUGGGGUAAAGGCCUACCAAGGCGACGAUCCGUAACUGAUCUGAGAGGAUGAUCAGUCACACUGGAACGGAGACACGGGCAAGACUCCUACGGGAGGCAGCAGUGGGGAAUAUUGGACAAUGGGCGAAAGUCUGAGCAAGCAAUGCCGCGUGUGUGAAGAAGGUUUUCGGAUUGUAAAGCACUGUAAGUAGGGAGGCGGUACCAAAAGAAAAAGCAACGGCUAACUUCGUGCCAGCAGCCGCGGUAAUAC